GUUCCUUUGAAUCCGAAAAUUGGAGUUAUGAUCCAACACGGUGCAGCCCACCAGAGCCUAGUUAAACACUGUCGCUUAUCUUCACGAAACCUUCGUCACUUUCUACCUCCUGUGAGAGCGCAGUUUUCCAUCUUCGGCUCCGCAGCCACGAUUAUAUCGGAGAAGAAUCGCAAGGAGAUCUGCAAAUAUCUCUUCAAAGGUUUCUUUAAAUUUCUCCAUUAUGUGCAUUUUUCUAAAACCGUUAUGAGCCUUUUGUUUGCAGAGGGAAGUUUUUCAUUUGGAUAAAAAAUUGGGAAAUAAGUGCGUGCAUAGAUGUUUUUGAAUCUAUGAUGUAUCCGGCUAUUUGGACAUCAACGCAGUCUAGUUAAUUAUAAUGCUUCAGCGUCGGUGAUUCUUUGUUUAUUUUGCUCUAUUUUCUUUCUUUUCUUUUAUUUUCAAUUCCUUCUGAUCAGUAUUUCAAAGCCUUUAAAAGUAUCUCAGUGCGGUGUUCUUACUGAUCAAGUGUAAUUCUGAUUCAUUAUUGGUUAACAUUCUGAUUUGCUAUCUGUGUUAACUGUUCAGAUUUACACAAUGGUGUUUUCAAUUUUUCUAGAGGGAGUAUGUUAUGCGAAGAAGGUUUAUAAUCUUUCAAAACUCCCGGAGAUCGAUGUCCCAAAUCUGCAGGUCAUUAAGCUGAUGCAGAGCUUCAAAUCCAUGGAAUAUGUUCGUGAGACUUUUGCAUGGAUACAUUAAUAUUGAUUUGUCACAAACGAUGGAAUCGAAUAUUUAAGGACAUACCUUAAUCUGCCAUCAGAAAUUGUGCCUGCUACCUUGAAGAAAACACCUAAACCAGUCGCGGUCCUCCUCGGUUUGAAGGAGGUUCAAGGUUUGGUGACCGUGAUGGAUACCGUGGAGGCCCUGGAGGAUCUUCUGGUGAAUUUGGUGGUGACAAAGGAGGAGCUCCGGCAGAUUACCAGCCAUCAUUUAGGGUACCUGCUGCACGGCCCUCGCUUUGGAAGAAGUGGCGGAGGUUUUGGGGCGGCACCUGGUACCAGCUUUUUAUAGAGGACAUUAUUUUCGUGCUCACGUUUACCAUAGUGCUGUUUAUCUAUAAUUUUAAAAUUAGUAUUUAAUUGCGCACACCUAUAACUUGUUCUUCUAUUCAGCUUUUUGGAUUAGCAUUAAUUUCAGUAUAUACAUGUAUUAAUGAUUUUUAAUAAUCAUCUUCAUUUGUUUUUCGCCCUUUCGACGAAGAGAAAUAUCGAAAGCGGGCACGGUCA